AUGAUAAAAAAUAAAGAAUAUUGCCCCGUCCCCGCCUCGCUCCCGCGCGCAGAGUCCCCGUCUGCAUCCGGAGGGGGCACUGCGCUUCUAGGGACCCUCCGCUUUGGCAUGCACAGAAAUCGGCCAGAACGUGAAAAUGCGCAGGGCUUUUUCCCUUUCGAAAGGCAAUGUGGAAUCCGACAUGCCCACUUGGGACUGCUGACUUGGGAAAAAGAUCCAAAGGUGUUUUGGGCCCAAGCCCUCAGCUGUAGACCAGAGCUGCUCACAGGUGGCACUCAAGUGUGGACCUGCCACAUCGCUCCCCAAACCAGAGUCUCCUCCUUUGGGUUUUGGGGGGCCCCCGCUCCCCAGCCUCGUGGGGGAGCCCCUCCCUGGCAGUGGGGCCUCCCCCCAGGAAACGCCGAUGACCAGCCACCCUCCAGCUCGCCCUCGCCAGCCCUCCUGACCCACCGCUGGCAGGAGGCACCGCCAAUUCCAUUUGUUAAACAGUUUUUUUUUUUUUUAAGUGUAAAUGAUAAUAAUAAAAUUCCACGAGUCUUUCUUUUUUUUUCUCUUUUCUCUCCCCUCAGGAUAAAUUUUAUGCGGCUGGCAGUUAAAAUAAGCGAUUACCCCAUAAAUACCAUCUUAAUAGCCUCGUCAACGCUACGGCCUCCGCUGUCCUGAGAUUUUUAUCUCAGGAAAGGGGGAGGGAGGGAGAGAGAAAACCACAACCCUUUAGAGCGCUGCGGCGGCGGCUGCCGCCGCUCGUUACUCGCUGCGUAGCUGGGGGGGCGGAGGGCUCCCCCCUUCCCCCGGGGGCAGCCGCGGGGCCGCCCCCUCCCCCGGCGUGGCCGUUGGCGU
ensembl:lncRNA